rnacentral:rRNA from 1 species
CCUACGGGGGGCAGCAGUGAGGAAUAUUGGUCAAUGGGCGCGAGCCUGAACCAGCCAAGUAGCGUGAAGGAUGAAUGCCCUACGGGUUGUAAACUUCUUUUAUAAAGGAACAAAGUGAGGCACGUGUGCCUUUUUGUAUGUACUUUAUGAAAAAGGAUCGGCUAACUCCGUGCCAGCAGCCGCGGUAAUACGGAGGAUCCGAGCGUUAUCCGGAUUUAUUGGGUUUAAAGGGAGCGUAGAUGGGUUGUUAAGUCAGUUGUGAAAGUUUGGGGCUCAACCGUCAAAUUGCAGUUGAUACUGGCAGUCUUGAGUGCAGGUGAGGUAGGCGGAAUGCGUGGUGUAGCGGUGAAAUGCUUAGAUAUCACGAAGAACUCCGAUUGCGAAGGCAGCUUACUGACCUGCCACUGACGUUGAGGCACGAAAGUGUGGGUAUCAAACAGGAUUAGAUACCCUUGUAGUC